UACGAGGGGGGCAAGCGUUGUUCGGAAUUAUUGGGCGUAAAGAGCUCGUAGGCGGUUUGGCAAGUCGGGUGUGAAAACUCCGGGCUCAACUCGGAGACGCCACUCGAUACUGCUAUGACUCGAGUCCGGUAGGGGAGUGCGGAAUUCCUGGUGUAGCGGUGAAAUGCGCAGAUAUCAGGAGGAACACCGGUGGCGAAGGCGGCACUCUGGGCCGGUACUGACGCUGAGGAGCGAAAGCGUGGGGAGCGAACAGG
rnacentral:rRNA from 1 species